CAAGAAAUUUGCUAAGUGAUUGUUUCCAUAUUCGGGGAAACCUAGGUUGAGGAGAAUAAACAUAGUAGGUAAUCCUGAGCCAAAUUUUGUUUCCUUUACAAAAUAGGUGCAGAGACUCAAAGGAAACUAUCCAAACAAAAAUAAAUCAUUUAUGAAUUAUUAAUUCGUUCUACGAUGAAUUUUAUAUAUAUUUAAAUAUAUAUAUGAUAUAAGGAUAAAGAUAGAGUCCAUUUUUACACGCUAUAUUUGGCAACGAUGUAAGUCAUUGUAAAAAGAAAAUCCGUUGGCUUUUUAGACCGUGAGGGGUUCAAGUCCCUCUACCCCCA
rnacentral:tRNA from 1 species